GGAGGCAGAAGUCAAAGCAACAUCAAUGCUCCAAUUCAAAGGCAAAAAGGAAUGUGACAGAGCAUUUUAAUAUUAAUGGCAGACUUGGAAUGGAGAUGUAUGACUGGGCAUGGCUUGUGCACAGGCAAAGCUGGUUCAAAAAACCCCAGAGGUAAGCAAGCACAAACGUGACUCUCCCAUCUCUGUCUUCAGAUUUGGAAUAAUCAAGUUAAUUACUGACAUUCUUUAUAACACUUGGUAUUUUCAGCCUAAAGACAUUCUGACCUCGAAGGCUCUGAACACACAAUGACAGUGGAGAGGCUGAUCCAUUCUCAGGUAG